UCGAGGAUCUUCGGCAAUGGGCGCAAGCCUGACCGAGCGACGCCGCGUGUGCGAUGAAGGCCUUCGGGUUGUAAAGCACUGUCGAGGGGGAGGAAGCCGAAAGGUUGACCUAUCCCUGGAGGAAGCACGGGCUAAGUUCGUGCCAGCAGCCGCGGUAAGACGAACCGUGCGAACGUUGUUCGGAAUCACUGGGCUUAAAGGGCGCGUAGGCGGGUUCCCAAGUCUGUGGUGAAAGCCUCCAGCUUAACUGGAGAAGUGCCGUGGAUACUGGGAAUCUCGAGGAGGGUAGGGGCAUCUGGAACUGCCGGUGGAGCGGUGAAAUGCGUUGAUAUCGGCAGGAACUCCGAUGGCGAAGGCAAGGUGCUGGACCCUUUCUGACGCUGAGGCGCGAAAGCCAGGGGAGCAAACGGGAUUAGAUACCCCCGUAGUCC
rnacentral:rRNA from 1 species